GUCCACGCCGUAAACGGUGGGAACUAGAUGUGGGGUCCGUUCCACGGAUUCCGUGUCGCAGCUAACGCAUUAAGUUCCCCGCCUGGGGAGUACGGCCGCAAGGCUAAAACUCAAAGGAAUUGACGGGGGCCCGCACAAGCGGCGGAGCAUGCGGAUUAAUUCGAUGCAACGCGAAGAACCUUACCAAGGCUUGACAUAUAGAGGAAAGGUGCAGAAAUGUACCCCCCGCAAGGUCUCUAUACA
rnacentral:rRNA from 1 species